AUGCCUCAUCACACCCGCAUGCUCUCCAUUUCUCUCUCUCUCUUUCUCCCUCUCAACACUCUCUCAUUGGCCCCGCCAGUUUAUUUGCCACGGCGAGAAACAACAAGCUCCUUUUCCUUGAAUGGACCCCAGAUGGGAAGGUGGGAGCUGGAAGAGUGGUAGGAGAAGUGCAGCGGGAGGAGGCGGAAGAGGACAGCUUUUUGUUUGCCAUCCCUACUCGGCAGCAUCAGUACCAAUUCGUCCAGCACCGCAUCCUCUGUUUCCUACUGGGAUCAACCUCCUCCUUCUUUUCAGGGAGCUCUUCCUGCAACUGGGAGGGGGAGGGAGAUCACCACCUCCCAGUUUGCCAAGGACCCUCAGGAAGGCAUCAGGCUGAAAGAGCGCAGGAAGGGGAGGGAAUUUUAGAGGUGCGCCAGGAGAGGCAACACCCUGCUUUACAGGAAAAGGAAGAAAAGCGGCCCCAGUUCUCAUUACGACAGGACCGAGCAACAGUGGCAACAGUAGCAGCGAAAGCCAAAAGUCACCAACGGAAGCUGGUCAAAGACAGGCAGUGCAGCAAGGCUGUGGCUCAGAGGAGCCAUUGAUGGAACUUAGUCUCACGCUGCAGUGAGGCGUCUUCAAUCAAUGCAACUACCACCUUUCUCAAUCUGUUUAUGUGUCUGUUUGCCACUGGCGCAUGAAGAAGGGCUGCUGAUGGCAGCAGUGAUGGCCAUGGUGGUGGGGAUGUGAUGAUGCAAUGGCAGUGGAACUGCUCACAUGGUUUCUGGUUAGCCUCCUGCGUAUAUUGAAAGACUCUCUUCGGUGACGGGUAUUCUUGGGUGGAUAAUACGGAUCACGUUGUUAUUGCUUAAGAAUACGCGUAGUCGAGGAGAGUCCCCUCUUCGCCCAACACCUGACACCCACCCACCCACUUCACCUUACCACACCUCACCCCAACACCCUACCCAUCCAGGGGAGGACUAUUCGUUUGGGUGGCUCUUCUUUGAAGAUGAAAUCAUUGCAAUCUUUUUUUCUUUCCCUGCCUUCAUGCAUCUGUCUUUGUGGCGACGGGCAGAUCUUUUUCUUUUCUGUGUUUGUCUGCCGUGCUGCUUUGAGAUUGUUUGCUGAAAGAAAGAGUGUGACUCAAAAACAGGGUCAAUACACACCACAGUAAGCAGAAGCAGUGAUUUCAUUCAUUUUGACAUCAAUAUGACAUUCGAAUUUUCCUAAGAUGACCAACCCAGUUGAAAAACAACUUGCCAGCCUGUUCCAUCGAUCCAUCUUUUGAAGUCCCAGUAAACUGAAAAUAAAUGUCUUUAUAAAUUUGACACACCACAAAUAAGAGUCUUGUAAACAACCUUACCAAAUUUGAAUGAUUAAAAAAAUAAUAAUAACAAAAUAAAAUAAAACCUGAAAAUGAGGCUUCAAAAUCAAAACCACGCCCACUUUGUAUAUAGUGGGGAAUCGGCGACUGAUCCUGGAUGCCCAAAUAUGCGAGCAAAAUUUCCAAGGCGAGACUGAAUCCAGUUGGCCAAUUUAUUCCUCCCACAAAAUGAACAAAAAUAAGUAAUUGGGAACCCAGGGGAUGUAACAUUUUUAGAAUGUUAUCUUUGAAUUAAAAAAAAGAAAAGAAAAGUGCAUUUUUUGACUUUAGGAAUUACCUUUCAAAUGAUGCCAAUCUAAAUCGCAUUGUCGAUAUGGAAAUUUUUCAUAUAAAUAUCGUAUGUGGUAAAUGCUGCAUUCAUUUGUCAAUUCAUCAAUGUAGGUUCAAACAUAAAAAAUCUUAGGGCAUUUUGUCACAUUUCAUUACAAAAAAAGAAUAAUAAUAUUGUAUCACUGUAUUCGUGAACAGAAACAAUUCAUAAUAAUUCAUGCAACCCUGUUUGUAAUAAUAAUAAUAAUAAUAUUACAAAAAUGAUACAUACACAGUACAUAUACAAUUAUCUGAUAAAAAUGAAAUAACAAUAAUAAUGAUUAUUACUACACAUAUUGAUACACAUUCAUUAAUUUCAACGGGUGUGCAUUAUUUUACGAUCAGCAGAUGAAUUGUGUGCAUUUUCGCAGCAGAGCCUCACCCUAUUCAAGUCACUGUACAUUUAUUAUUGUAGCGAGGCAAGCUAAGCUGCAGUUUAGUUUCCCCGCUCCCCGCCCGUUUAUCCCCUUUUUAUGCAAAUGGUUGCUCAAACGCCAUUUAUCUCGGUGAGGUUUAUGACACUUGCAUUAUGGUUCUUUCUGCUGAGCUACGCAAAGGAACACACUCACAUGCGCACACUCGCUCGCUGAGAAAACAAAAUCUACCAUGACUGUUCGACAGCUCAAUUCAUGCAUUGCGGAGCGAGGCAUUAUACAAUUACUCCUCGCUCAAAUGGUCUAGAACUACAAGCGGGACAGUUUGCGACCUGCCAACGCACCAUGAAUAUGGAUCCCCUCCUCUAUGUCUGAUAGCACAUUCUGAAUCUUAACAGCCAUGUAAAAUCCAUUUAAACACAUAAUAGGAUCAAGUGGAGUCAGACAGUCAUGUCCUCAUCCAUGUCACGUCUCAGGAUGAUCCGCUGGAGAUUUCCUCAUCAUGCCGGGCGAGAAGAAACCAUAUUUCCACGCUUCUUAUAUACGAAACCUAAAAUCUGAUUUGCAUUUCUGAAGCGUAUUGUAAUGUAGAACCGACCCAAGAUUGAUUACACAAUAGCAUUUAUUUAAAACCUGGAUUCUUUGCCAUGCUACAUCGUCAUUUAACAUCAUGAUUAAAAUAGUACAAAUCAUACUUUAAGAUCUCACAUGAAUUAUUGUUCAUGUAUGAUUAUAUUUAAUUUCAACUAGUACAGAGGCUUGCUCGAAUGUAUAAGAACGUCAAAAGCGGUGAAAUCACAAAAACAACAAAAAUCACUCUGCAAACCAACACCUAAACAUUUUGGAUGUUAAAAGAUUAGAUUUGAGAUGAGGUUAAAUGAGAUUAGAUAGCUUUGUGUGAUGACAUCCUUGUGUGUUGAUUUGCAGGUGUUUCUGUGUUUUGAUGGCUUGGUGUUUCUGCUGCUAGGCCUCGUCUGGCUAAUAUCCAUUGCAUCAUUUGUGUGCUUUUCACACGUUCUCUAAUGUGCUCUAAAUUUAAAAUAAGUGUAUGUGGGUAAUUCCAGAAUUGGAUGCCAAUUUAUGCACCAGCAUUUUUGAAAAACUUUUUUUCCUUUUCAAGAAACAGGUAAUAGAUCAUCAUAUAAUUUUAAAUCAUACAGCUCAACCAUCAACAGUAAACUUUAUAUUCGGAUAUUAUUUUAUUUGUCAUAUCUGUUGCAGAUACUGAAAAAUGUAUAUUCCGAAUUUUCUUUCCCAGGUAGAUUUUAUUUGAAUUUUAAUGACAUUUUAAGAUAUCCAAUUACAGUAACAGGGUUGCAAAUUGACGCUAAUGCUAAAAAUAGAAGAGCCAUGGCCAGCGCAAAUAGCCUGAUGAUGUCAUUUCUGCUGAGUCAUGUAGCUCACUUUUUUGUCUCUUCCUCUAGAUCACUCAAAAGGUUUUAGUAGCAAGGUUUCUUGUAUGUUGAGAAACACAGCAUAAUUACUACUUCAAAACAUGUCUGUGAUAAAAAGAUGUUUAAACAAUUCAAGGGAGACAUAUAUGUAAUUCCCGAAAAAAAAAAAAGAUUUAAAACUUAUUUUAUCUGUUAUAUUUGAUAUGUAAGUUGAUAAUCGAGAGGGAGGGACAAGAGUAAAAAAACAAUUUAUGGGGUGCUCAGGAGCCACCUGACAUUUUACAUUACAUUUAGGAAUGGCUCUCAUUAGAGCUACAGUUACAGUUUGUCUACAUGUGUAACGAUCAUUUACACAUCAAGUACACGUUUCUGUAUUUUGUUUGUGCAUGAACUAUUUGGAAAUGUCACAGUGUGUGUGUGGGAGGAGGGGAGGAGGCCAACAAAUUUCUUCCAAUUCUGGAAUGAUCCAUCUUGUUUCUGAAUUGGGUCUAUAUUUGGUAGUCCCAAACUCAAUACAAAUAUCAAAUAUAAUACACUUAUAAUGUAUUCCUCAUGAUAGUCUUUAUGAAUGAGUGUUGGAGCUAAUAAAACCAUGACCCCUGUUGAAUGGCUCAUCAGUAAUAGUUUGGUUUCUAGUCCUGUGCCCAGUCUCAAUUACAUGUAUGUCUCUGUUUGUUUGUCGUAUGUCAAAUGAUUUGGCCAAGAUGAUCAAUUCAGCAUUGUUUGCUCUUAUUGAUUAUGGUAACAGUGGUUUCUUGUAUUACUGAUGUAGGCAGUCAAGAUCUGCUGCGAAUCAUGUGGUUGUGCCUGCAAUUUCAAUCCUCUGUAUUGAUAAGAUGUUACUGCUCUUGCUGCUGCUGAUAAUGCUGAUGAUUCCUAUUAAAGCUAAAUAGGAAUGAGCAGUCAAUGCAUUUCAAUCAUUUCAUUAUAUUUUCCCAUUCAUAUUGUUCCUUGUUUUGGUCAGCAAAUCUUAGCUUUGGGGAAGAAAAAUAAAAAAUAAAAAAUCAUCAAUGCCUCUUGAGAAAAAAAAAACAAUUGAGAAUUUGAAUAAUGUUUUAUUUAAAUCAUAUUUUUGACUCAUAGCGAACACUGCAAUUUAGUGUAAUUUCUGUGGGCAAAAAAUAUUAACAGGCCUCAUAAAAUAAUGUUGGGCUCUAUUGUAUCUUAUCUUACUAAAUUAUGAGAAAAACAAGAAAGAACAAUGAUUGUAUACAGUUCAUUGAACAUUUGAACAAAUGUCUUCGUUUUACCCUGUCAUUGACACUUAAAUAAGCUCAGUCCAAAUUGGUUAUUUAAAAAACAAAAAAUGAAAUCAACCCAAUUGCAGCAGUAUAUUUUGCAGCCAUCUUGAAUUUAGCAUUCAUCACGUUAAAUAUUUUGGAGUAAAUUUCACUGACUGUGGAUGGCAGCAUGGCUCAGGUGGUUGCGUGGCCCCCAGUUGUUCCUGUAUUGUGAUUCUGUGAAAGAGGCAAUAUUGGAAAAUCGGUUUAGGAAAAAUGGUUUCAUUUAAAUGUAGCUUCGCAAGCCCUUGAAUGACUGUCAUUCUGCCAAUAUUGCCGGUCUACUGGUCCCAAUAUUGAUCUAUAUCGGAAAAUAAUGACAAUGUUAUUAGCUGUAGCUAUGUGGUUUAAUAGACACAUCGUGUAUAAAUGUAUAGUAUGUAUUAAACAUAGAAUGAAUGCAACUGACUGAGACUGAACUGUAUUCAUAAUUCAAGAGCUAUUUUCCAAAAUGCACAAAUCCAUUUGGAUUAUUAAAAAAUAAAUAAAUAAAAUAAAAUAAAUACAUAAAAAAUUGAUUUGCCCAGGCGUGCUAAUUUUGCAAACAUUUGAGCCCACUAAAGUACUUAUUAAAAAUGAUUUUUUUUUUGUUCUUUGAGAUUAUGCUUUCUGCCAAAAAUGGAAUGGAAGUGCAGUUUGCAGCACAUUUAAUAGAUAAUAGAUUGCACACUAAAGGAUUUGAAUUUGGCGUUUAUCAAAAUUUGGAUUUAAGGUCUUUGUAUUUCUUUGACAUAUUUGUACGAACUUGAACAACUCAGACUUAAAUAUAAACAAAAGGUUUUCAGUUAUUUAUGGCAGAAAUAAUUACAUUUGUAUGAGUACCCAGAUGCCCUGCUACACACAUAACACGAACACAACUGAAAUUGUACAAAUUUAAAUGUAAAAUUGGAAUUAACAAUGCCACUAAUUUUAUCCUGUUAGAAUAAUUAUCACAAUUAAUUUAAUUAGACAAGCAAUUGAUAAAAUUCACUAUUAUCAUGAUUUAUUUAUUUAUUUAUUUUUUAAUUACUAAGCCAUGGCCUGUUGUUAAGAUUCUUGAGCAAUGUUUUCUUCCAUUUAAGCAUUCCUUCAUUUAAUGAGUGGGGGAUAAAACUAAAGUAAAUAAAUAACUUUAAUUACACAAUUUGCUAAAUACAUGAAAAACAGUUCUCAUAAUGCUGCUUGUUGUAAAUACAGUAAUGCAAUUGGAUUAUUCUUGUGAAUUGCAUGUCAGUAUAGUGGAAUUUUAAUUUGAGUAUAUCAAUGUGUGGAAUUUGAUGGCGAUCCAUAAUGGCUGUAUCAGUAACAAGAAAUUGUGCAAAUUGAAUUGUAAAACUGUAUUUAAGAAUAAUUGCCAUUUAUUUUAACCUGCUAUUAUAAUUCUAGUAAUUUAGACAUUGUUAAAUUAAAAAAUAUUUUUUUACUUACCAUGCCAUGACUUGAUUGUUAAGAAUAUUUUGCAAUGUUUUCCUCCUAUUUAACAAUUGCUUAAGAUAUUUUUUUUUUCAACAAAUAAAUCUGUGAAAAGUAGUUAUGAUAAUGCCGCUGUCAACAAUGUAAUUAGAUUAUUGCUGUG